rnacentral:pre_miRNA from 1 species
AUGGAGUUUUCUCUCUCCCAGUCCUGGAAUAGGGUCAGACUGUGCCCUGAGGAGAAGCAGCAGAGAAUGGGACUACAUCGU